rnacentral:misc_RNA from 1 species
GCUUGACUGCUCAACAGGUGCUUGGUAAGUCCUUUUAGACUUUGCCUUGUUGUGUAGUUUGCUGAGUUUUUACAUGUUGGUGGCUCUCUUAUUGUGAAGUAUGUGUUAAUGAUAGGGACACAUAGCAACAACCUCAGACACAAAAAAUUGUUAGGAUUGCACUGUGGAUUAAUGUGAAAACAAUAUUGGUUUCUGAUCUCCACUUUCCAGAUUAUAGUUAUUUUACUUGGACAGCAAUAAAACAUUUGACAUGAUACACCGAUGCUAUGCUGGUUUAGACAUAUUUGCUGGCUUGUUUAUCUCGAAGAAUUGUAACCCCUUCACUAGUUUUCUGAAAGAAUCAUUAAAGUUUUACAACUUUGUUUUUGGGGAUUGAAGAGGAGAAUGCCCAUUUAGAUUAUAGGCCAUGUUGUUUCUCCAAGAUUUAGUAGGAAUGUGGUUUGAGGGAAUUGGCCUGAUGAAAAUGAGAACAUUGUGUAUCACCAUGCUUCUAAUGGCGGAGUAUUACAAGUCCACAGAUAGGGAGAAAUUCAACUAUUUCGAAGGUGAUAAACCAUGGAUUAUAUCUCUUCCUUUCUGAUUUAGUUACAUGUUGGUGCAGAAAGUAUAAAGGAAUUUUGGAAGACGUGUAUUGCAGGGGAAAAACUUUUAAAUAUCUACAAGUUGAAGAUACCAAGCCCUUUAAUAUUCUUUUACUUCCACAUCUUUCAAAAUGAUAAUUCCUAGAAUUUUUUAAAAAAUACUGAUCAGAGAUAAGGUUCUUUGUGCUAUCUUUAAAUUUCAUAUUAUGAAUAAGUGCUGUUUGACUUUUUAGUCCAAGUCCCUUCAAUUUUUCUAUUGACUGAGCAUUUCUUUACCUGAAGUUAGGCAUGUUCCAGCCCACAAAUGAAAACUGUAAGAGUGACAGAGGCUCCUUAAUGUGCUCUUCCUGUGUGUUAGGCCACUUCAAAGCAAUUUUCUCUAUGCAUUGUUGUUGUUGUAGUUAUUUUUUUAAAGGCACCAUUGUGUAUGUAUUGAUUAAAAACAAUUAAAAAUGGUUUUCAGUAUUUGACAUGUGUUGAUCAUAAAAACAUGAAUACUGCUAAAAAAGUACUUUCAAAUUGCUUAUUGCAAUAUCAAAAGUGAUUUUUUUUUUUUGAAAAUUCAACCACCAAAAGAAUCUUGCUUCAGGAUAUGCAGCUAAAAGUAAUGCAAGCAUAACUGUGUCCUUAAUUUCUUAAAUUAUCCUUAAUUUCUUAAAUUAUAUGACAGUCAUUGAAUGCUUGUCUGUUUUUUAUCAGACACUUUUGGCAGAAGAGGACUAAUCUUUUUGCUAAUAGCACGCGAUAUAUUCCACUUGUUUAAUGCAGAAACCUCAGUAUAACCAGGACUCAGGAGGCAAUUUAUUCAAGUUGUGAUACGUGUCUAGCUUUCCUAUCAAAAUAUUUCUAUAUUGUUAUGAUGUUUAAUUAAUUAAUCCUGCAACAUGGCUUUUAUAGCCAGUGUUUGUAAAAGAGUUGUACCAACUUGUGCCUUUUCAUUUCUUUUGUUGGUAGAACAUCCCUGGCUACAAAAUGCA